GUGACUAAGAUGUACAGAAAUGUGCUGAUAUC
rnacentral:piRNA from 1 species